UACGUAGGUGGCAAGCGUUGUCCGGAUUUAUUGGGUUUAAAGGGUGCGUAGGCGGUCAUAUAAGUCAGUGGUGAAAUACUUCAGCUCAACUGGAGAGGUGCCAUUGAUACUGUAUGACUUGAGUACGGACGAGGUAGGCGGAAUUGACGGUGUAGCGGUGAAAUGCUUAGAUAUCGUCAAGAACACCGAUAGUGAAGACAGCUAACUAAACUUUUACUGACGCUGAGGCACGAAAGUGUGGGGAUCAAACAGG
rnacentral:rRNA from 1 species